AUUGAACGCUGGUGGCAGGCUUAACACAUGCAAGUCGAGCGGGGUGAUGGUGCUUGCACUAUCACUUAGCGGCGGACGGGUGAGUAAUGCUUAGGAAUCUGCCUAUUAGUGGGGGACAACAUCUCGAAAGGGAUGCUAAUACCGCAUACGUCCUACGGGAGAAAGCAGGGGAUCACUUGUGACCUUGCGCUAAUAGAUGAGCCUAAGUCGGAUUAGCUAGUUGGUGGGGUAAAGGCCUACCAAGGCGACGAUCUGUAGCGGGUCUGAGAGGAUGAUCCGCCACACGGGGACUGAGACACGGCCCAGACUCCUACGGGAGGCAGCAGUGGGGAAUAUUGGACAAUGGGGGGAACCCUGAUCCAGCCAUGCCGCGUGUGUGAAGAAGGCCAUAUGGUUGUAAAGCACUUUAAGCGAGGAGGAGGCCCUUUUGGUUAAUACCCAAGAUGAGUGGACGUUACUCGCAGAAUAAGCACCGGCUAACUCUGUGCCAGCCGCCGCGGUAACAC
rnacentral:rRNA from 1 species